GUAGUCCACGCCGUAAACGUUGAGUGCUAGGUGUUAGGGGUUUCGAUACCCGUAGUGCCGAAGCAAACGCAAUAAGCACUCCGCCUGGGGAGUACGACCGCAAGGUUGAAACUCAAAGGAAUUGACGGGGGCCCGCACAAGCGGUGGAGCAUGUGGUUUAAUUCGAAGCAACGCGAAGAACCUUACCAGGCCUUGACAUCCUCUGGCCGCCUUGGAGACAAGGUUUUCCCUUUUGGGACAGAGUGACAGGUGGUGCAUGGUUGUCGUCAGCUCGUGUCGUGAGAUGUUGGGUUAAGUCCCGUAACGAGCGCAACCCUUGAAUGUCGUUGCCAGCAUUAAGUUGGGCACUCGACAUUGACUGCCGGUGACAAACCGGA
rnacentral:rRNA from 1 species